rnacentral:lncRNA from 1 species
AAGUCUUGAGUUCCUUCCUUCUCAAUCCUCUAAGUCAUACUAAGGGAGUUGUGAGGACUACUUGUAAAAAGAAUUAUAAAAGUUCUCUCCUAAACUUGUGAAAAGGAUAAAAUAGUUGUAACAAGGGUGGUUGAUCUUUACCCAUUGAAAGAAGAUUGUUAGCGAAAGUCAAUAGUCUCAACGAAGGAGGAAUCGAGAG